CUUGUCGCGKGCGAGAUCGGGGUUCAAUUCCCCGUCGCGGAG
rnacentral:tRNA from 1 species